AGCACUCACUCAGAAAGACUGUAAAUCAUGACAACUGUGGCCAGACUCCAGCCAAACAGGAGUACCACCAGGAAAAAGAAGGUGGAGGUGGUGGAGCGAAACGUCUUCAUUGCUGGCCGACAAUUAUAUAAGAGUGUGAUCUGAGGAGGAAAAUGGCAAUGGAGACAUGAAACAGGGGCCAAAACCAUAGCAGAGAGUUGAGUGAUUUGUACCUGCGCGGAAACUCCACCAGGACAAGCACAGCUAUGUUGAUGAGGAGGUCAAACAGUGUCAGUUUGUACAUCUCCUGUCCUAUACGUGUUUCCCAGCACUACAUGACAAGACAAACAAUGACAAGGGUGAAGAGGAGAACACCCAGACUCACCAGGCGAAGGAACACUGCCCUAUACAUGGAAGAGAAAUGACGAGCUCUCAUAUCUUUGCAGGUCAUUACAAUGCUGCAGUUUCUCACCGUCCCCGAAAAUCUGAAGACGAUGCUGGGGAUGAGGACAAAUCCAGCAAUCAGUAAAAAGGAAACAAAAUUGAGCACCACCAAGAAUCGCAGGAACAGGAAGUAAGACUGGACGCCACCUCCGAAGUUCCCUGUGGGAGCAAAGGGCCGUGAUUUCAUUAAAAAUGCAAAGAUGGUUUCAAUCCACAUGUGUAAAAUGAAUUAAAACUUUUCUUUGACCGUA